rnacentral:rRNA from 1 species
CUAAUGAGCAGAGAGGGAAUUAAAACUACUCUAAAGUAAGUUUUGUGGGUCAAGGUAUGAUGAUGAAUUGGAGUUCUAGUUCAUUUUACUUGAGAAAUUAGAGUGUUUAAAGCAGCCUCUUGGGGCACUGAAUACAUUAGCAUGGGAUAAUAAAAUAGGAUCUUCACAAUAUAUUUAUUGGUUUAAAUUGCGUAUGAAGAUAAUGAUUAAUAGGGAUAGUUGGGGGUAUUCAUAUUGGGUGGUUAGCGGUGAAAUGCUCGGAUCCAUUCAAGAUGAACUAAAGCGAAAGCAUUUACCAAGGAUGUUUUCAUUAAUCAAGAACGAAAGUUAAGGGAUCGAAGACGAUUAGAUACCGUCGUAGUCUUAACUGUAAACUAUGCCGACCAGGGAUAUGAGUUGUUAGGAUUAUAUGAAAAUAUAAUCAAUUUCUUCUUAUGGACCUUGUGAGAAAUCAUAAGUUUUUGGGUUCUGGGGGGGAGUAUGGUCGCAAGGCUGAAACUUAAAGGAAUUGACGGAGGGG